rnacentral:rRNA from 1 species
UAGUCCACACCGUAAACGCUGUCUACUAGCUGUUUGUGAGUUUAACUCGUGAGUAGCGAAGCUAACGCGCUAAGUAGACCGCCUGGGGAGUACGGCCGCAAGGUUAAAACUCAAAUGAAUUGACGGGGGCCCGCACAAGCGGUGGAGCAUGUGGUUUAAUUCGAUGCAACGCGAAAAACCUUCCUACCCUUGACAUCAUUGGAACUUGUUAGAGAUAACUUGGUGCCUUCGGGAACCAAUAGACAGGUGCUGCAUGGCUGUCGUCAGCUCGUGUCGUGAGAUGUUGGGUUAAGUCCCGCAUCGAGCGCAACCCCUAUUCGUUAGUUGCCAGCAUUAAGUUGGGGACUCUAGCAAGACUGCCGGCGUAAGCCGCGAGGAAGGUGGGGACGACGUCAAAUCAUCAUGGCCUUUAUGCCCAGGGGCACACACGUGCUACAAUGGUAGGUACAGAGGGGUAGCGAAGCCGCGAGGGUGGGAGCCAAUCUCAGAAAGCC